rnacentral:ncRNA from 1 species
UCUUGUAGCUGAACGAGUGGUCGGCUAUAAGCUAUUUAUCUAUAUUGGAGACUCCACUAUGUCAUUAAACGCUGAAGCUAAAGCAGCUAUCGUUGCAGAUUUCGCACGCCAAGAA